UACGAACCGUGCGAACGUUGUUCGGAAUCACUGGGCUUAAAGGGCGCGUAGGCGGCAGGUCAAGUCCGGGGUGAAAGCCCCCAGCUCAACUGGGGAAGUGCCUUGGAUACUGGCGUGCUCGAGGGAGGUAGGGGCCCGCGGAACUUCUGGUGGAGCGGUGAAAUGCGUUGAUAUCAGAAGGAACGCCGGUGGCGAAAGCGGCGGGCUGGACCGUUGCUGACGCUGAGGCGCGACAGCCAGGGGAGCAAACGGG
rnacentral:rRNA from 1 species